rnacentral:rRNA from 1 species
UACGGAGGGAGCUAGCGUUGUUCGGAAUUACUGGGCGUAAAGCGCGCGUAGGCGGCUUUGUAAGUUAGAGGUGAAAGCCCGGGGCUCAACCCCGGAAUUGCCUUUAAGACUGCAUCGCUUGAAUCCGGGAGAGGUGAGUGGAAUUCCGAGUGUAGAGGUGAAAUUCGUAGAUAUUCGGAAGAACACCAGUGGCGAAGGCGGCUCACUGGACCGGCAUUGACGCUGAGGUGACGGAAAGCGUGGGGAGCAAACAGG